UGUGGGAAUAGAGGUGGCAACAGUUAUUCUCGUCCUUAUUUAAUUUUUAAAAAAAUUUAAAUUUAAAUUUAAAUUUUAAUUUAAAAUUUUAAAAUUUUCAAAUUUAUAAUUUUUAAUAUUAAAAUUAAAAUUUUAUAAUUUUAAAUUCUAAAUUUUAAAUUGAUAUUUUAAAUUUUUUACAUUUAAAAUUUGAUAUUUUAGAUUUUUAAAUUUAGAUUUAAUUUUAAAUAUAAAAUAUAAAAUUUAGAACUUUGAAUUUUUAAAUUUGAGAAUUAAAAAUUAAAAUUAAAAUUUUAAAAUUUUAAAAUUUUAAAAUUAUAUAUUUAAAUUUAAAAAUUUAAAUAUAAAAUUUUAAAAUUUAAAUUAAAAUAUAAUAUAAGGGUUAAUAUUAUUAUUUUCUAUUUAUAACUACCUACUAUUCUUUUUAUUCCAUCUUAUCUAUUCAAACUCUAUUUUUCUUAUUUUCGAAAACAACUGAAUUUUUAUCCAAAUGUAAAAUUGGUCUAUUCUAGGCUUAUAACUAAACUUAUACAUAUGUCUGAAAUGGGCUGUUCUUGUUUAUACUCAAAUCAAACAAAGCCUUAGUCUAUUCUCUAUUUUUUAGUGGGACCACAUAAAUCAUAAAAUAGCCUGAAUCCGGAUCAUUGAGUUUUAGCCAACAUAAUAUCUCUUAUCAAACAAGUCUGAGUAUCUCCCAAUCGCAUAUACGUCGUGCACUCUUCUGUAGUCCCAAACGGAGCCUUAAUGUAUUCUGGGCCGGUUUAUGGCCUAAGAUUUUAGGCCCAAUAAGCUCGGCCCAUGAGAAAUCAUAAUGUGAAGCCACAUAAUUCUUAUAUUCUAAUUCCACCUAUAUGGCUAGUAUUAUACGAAUUUCAAAACACUCUUAAACCAAGUAUCUAAUAUUAUCUCUACAUUCAUUUAGGGGCCGUUUGGUUAGAUGUAACUAUAAAUGUAGCGUAGUUAGAUAUGCAUGCGGUUGAAAAUGCAGCACUUAUAACUACAUGCAUCUUGUUUGGUUGGAUGUAGUAGAAAGCACUGUAAAUAUAAAUAAUUUGUUUGGUUGCAUACAAUUGAGAAAUAAUUUUUAAAAUUUUAUCAUUAUUAUAUAUAAUGGUGAGAUUACCUCCAAUAUAAAAAAGAAAAAAUAAUUUUUGUUUAAAAAAUAAUUAAGCAGGUAAGCAUACCUUUUAUUUAAAGUUACUCUCUCCAACUACUGCAGUUGGAACUAUGACAGUUGCAAUUGUGGCCAGCGUAGUUCAAACUGCGAUAGUUGAACCUUCUCCUAUAGUUUUUACUGCAACAGUUAGAGUUAAAUAUAUCAAACAAAAAAUCGAAUUUGCAUUUGUAUGCAGUUACAACUGCAGUGCAGUUGCAAUUAUAUGUAACCAAACGGCCCUUUAGAGCCCUUGAAUACAAAGAAUGUUUUG
rnacentral:lncRNA from 1 species